GAAGUCGGAAUCGCUAGUAAUCGCAGAUCAGCAUGUUGCGGUGAAUACGUUCCCGGGUCUUGUACACACCGCCCGUCAAACCAUGAGAGUCACCAACACCCGAAGUCCGCCUUGGCGGCCUAAGGUGGGGGAGAUGAUUGGGGUUAAGUCGUAACAAGGUAGC
rnacentral:rRNA from 1 species